rnacentral:lncRNA from 1 species
GACGGGAUAUUGAGGGAUGAUAUUCUUAGCGCUCAUAUAGGACGGAAUAUGGGAACGGCCGGUUAGUUAACAAUGUUGAAUAAUGGUUCAUAUAAAGUGGAACAUCCCUAUAAGCCCCCAGGAAUACUAGUAUGCAAAUAAAUAAGAAAAGUUACUGUUUUUGCUUUUACUUGAAUGUGAGAUUAUGAUGUUGUUGAGC